GUCCUAGCCCUAAACGAUGGAUACUUGCUGUGAGGGGGAUUGAAUCCCUUCGUGGCGAAGCUAACGCAUUAAGUAUCCCGCCUGGGGAGUACGGUCGCAAGGCCGAAACUCAAAGGAAAUUGACGGGGGCCCCGCACAAGCGGUGGAGUAUGUGGUUUAAUUCGACGCAACGCGAAGAACCUUACCUGGGCUCGAACGGCUAGUGACAGGCGGCGAAAGUCGCUUUUCCCGCAAGGGACGCUAGUCGAGGUGCUGCAUGGCUGUCGU
rnacentral:rRNA from 1 species